rnacentral:lncRNA from 1 species
AUGUGUUUUGUAUUCUCAGCCAAAAUGCUAACAAUAGCACACAACACGGUGACAAGUAGAAGUACAAGGGCCACUGAGUGUGACUAUUUCCCCAAUAUAUCAUGGCGACACAAACAUCUGUUACUAAAUAGCAGGGAUGGUCUAUGGAAAAUUCAUGUUCCAAGACGGCCUGUUCUUGCCUUCCAGUUUUGUGUGUCUGUUGGAGUAUGUAUAGUCAGUGUAAGAUUCAACAUUGGAGAGGGAGGAGGAGAAGAAGUAAAAGAGGAGAGGGAGGGGGAGCUGAAUGGAGGGGGAGAAGAAAACAUAAGCUGUAGCCACUGCAGAUGGUCCUCAACUUACUGCUGAUUCGACACAACUUCACAACG